GACGAGCUCUCCAAACGUUAUUCGGUAUCACUGGGCUUAAAGAGUUCGUAGGCGGUCUGGUAGGUGAGGUGUGAAAUCCCCCGGCUCAACCGGGGAACUGCGCUUCAAACCACCGGACUUUGAGGGAGACAGAGGUGGGCGGAACAGAUGGUGGAGCGGUGAAAUGCGUUGAUAUCAUCUGGAACACCGGUGGCGAAAGCGGCCCACUGGGUCUUUUCUGACGCUGAGGAACGAAAGCUAGGGUAGCGAACGGG
rnacentral:rRNA from 1 species